AGAGACAGCAGCCGCCGCGGUAAUACGAAGGGGGCUAGCGUUGUUCGGAUUUACUGGGCGUAAAGGGCGCGUAGGCGGACUGAUAAGUCAGGGGUGAAAUCCCAAGGCUCAACCUUGGAACUGCCUUUGAUACUGUUUGUCUUGAGUUCGAGAGAGGUAAGUGGAACUGCGAGUGUAGAGGUGAAAUUCGUAGAUAUUCGCAAGAACACCAGUGGCGAAGGCGGCUUACUGGCUCGAAACUGACGCUGAGGCGCGAAAGCGUGGGGAGCAAACAGGAUUAGAUACCCCAGUAGUCCCUGUCUCUUAUAC
rnacentral:rRNA from 1 species